AUUCCGUUUUGAGAUCAAAUGAAGAGAACUCACUGUUUCUUAUUGUACAAUUGUAUAUAAUUCAUAAUAAAUUUAAUUUAAAAUUUGUCGGUGCUUUCUAAGAAAUGCCGCCGCGUCAGGACAUAGUGGUGCAGGUGGAGCGGGUCCAGGUGCAGGCGUCGCCUCCGCCUCCCCCGCCACCUGGGCGACUCCAGCGACCCCCUCAUGACCACCCCUCGACCUACAUCGACAGGAAUGCGCGUCAAAGAAACAACACGCAAAGAACGGCACAAGCUAAUAGCUAGAAAUUUAUUUUUAACUUUUAAGAAUUCGAUUUAAGCUAAGUACAUAACUGUAAAUUAUUUCAAAAUAUAAUUUUACUAAACA